rnacentral:rRNA from 1 species
GACGAACGCUGGCGGCGUGCUUAACACAUGCAAGUCGAGCGGAAAGGCUCCUUCGGGGGUACUCGAGCGGCGAACGGGUGAGUAACACGUGAGUAAUCUGCCCUUGGCUUCGGGAUAGCCACCGGAAACGGUGAUUAAUACCGGAUACGACAACUUCUCGCAUGGGAUGGUUGUGGAAAGUUCGUUCGGCCAGGGAUGUGCUCGCGGCCUAUCAGCUUGAUGGUGAGGUAAUGGCUCACCAUGGCUUCGACGGGUAGCCGGCCUGAGAGGGUGACCGGUCACACUGGGACUGAGACACGGCCCAGACUCCUACGGGAGGCAGCAGUGGGGAAUAUUGGACAAUGGGCGGAAGCCUGAUCCAGCAACGCCGCGUGAGGGAUGACGGCCUUCGGGUUGUAAACCUCUUUCGGUAGGGACGAAGCGCAAGUGACGGUACCUACUAAAGAAGCACCAGCCAACUACGUGCCAGCAGCCGCCGUAA